AUAUCGCAUUGAAACCAUGAGUAAUAAUAAAUUCAAGGUAUUCGAUUAGACAAAUGAAUAAACCUUUGUGCAAAAUUUCUUCUUCGAACAAUUACAUGGAUGAAAAUAAUCUAUAAUCAGAAAAAAUUGAAUUAUCGAUCCAGGAAACCACGCUUUCCUUCCUUUUUGCGAGAAACAUCUAGAGUUGUUGAACCUUUAUUGAUUGGCAACAUCAACUGCAAGUAUGAGGUUCGCACUAAUAUUUCUUUAUGCAUUUUUUAUGCUUCAAAUAUUUUGGGUGCACUUCGCGAUGGGUGGUAAAAUUAAGUCGAUAAAACCUCUUUCGGCUUGCUCCGAUUUCCACCGAAGAUGGUGGUGUAGCAGAAAUACAGAUGAUUUUGUACCAUAAAAGUUGAACAAUAAAAUGGGAGUCAUUCAAUCUCUCGAGAAAAAAGAAAAACUCCCAUAUUUCCCAAUGAACUUGGAUUUUAUGAAUUUGUCAAAUUAUUAAAUGAAUGAAUUACUUCUAUGAAUGGCCAUUAUUGUAUUUAUUAUUUCUUGUUAUAUGAACAUAGAUUUAUACAACCAUAUUUAUUAUUUUACAUUAAAUUUUUAUGUACUGAAAUCAUAAUGAAUUGAUAAAAUAUUAAUAUAUGUA